rnacentral:rRNA from 1 species
GAUGAACGCUGGCGGUAUGCUUAACACAUGCAAGUCGAACGGACUCUUCGGAGUUACUGGCGGACGGGUGAGUAACGCGUGGAAAUCUGGCUUUGGGUUUGGGACAACCACUGGAAACGGUGGCUAAUACCGGCUGUGCCACGGGGUAAAAGAGAAGUUGCCUGAAGAUGAGCUCGCGUCUGAUUAGCUAGUUGGUGAGGUAAAGGCUCACCAAGGCAGCGAGCAGUAGCUGGUCUGAGAGGAUGACCAGCCACACUGGGACUGAGAGGCGGCACAGUCUCCUACGGGAGGCAGCAGUGGGGAAUUUUCCGCAAUGGGCGAAAGCCUGACGGAGGAAUACCGCGUGAGGGAAGAAGGCUCUUGGGUUGUAAACCUCUUUUCUUAGGGAAGAACAAAAUGACGGUACCUAAGGAAUCAGCAUCGGCUAACUCCGUG